rnacentral:miRNA from 1 species
UGGGGUCCUAUAAGUCAUCAA